GUAAGCCGUAUGCGGGAGAACCGCACGUACGGAUUGAAAGGGGGAUGGGGAACCGGGCUCGCAAGAGCACCGCGCCCCUGAC
rnacentral:autocatalytically_spliced_intron from 1 species